ensembl:snRNA U6 U6 spliceosomal RNA
UUGUUUCAGCAGCACAAACACUAAACAUUAGAAUGAUACAGAGAAAAUUAGCAUGGCACCUGCACAAGGACCACAGGCAAAUUCAUGAAGGGGUUCUAUAUUUUU